AACGAACGCUGGCGGCGCGCUUAACACAUGCAAGUCGAACGGAAAGGCCUGCUUUCCCUUGUGGAUUGCGGGUACUCGAGUGGCGAACGGGUGAGUAACACGUGAGUGAUCUGCCCCCAACUUGGGUAUAAGCCUGGGAAACUGGGUCUAAUUCCCGAUAGGACUGCAGGGUGGUGCCUGUGGUGGAAAACGAUUUUCUAGUGGUUGGGGAUGAGCUCGCGGCCUAUCAGCUUGUUGGUGGGGUAAUGGCCUACCAAGGCGGCGGCGGGUAGCCGGCCUGAGAGGGUGGACGGCCACAGUGGGACUGAGAUACGGCCCAGACUCCUACGGGAGGCAGCAGUGGGGAAUAUUGCACAAUGGGCGGAAGCCUGAUGCAGCGACGCCGCGUGGGGGAUGACGGCCUUCGGGUUGUAAACUCCUUUCGACCGCGAGGAAGCCACCUGGUUGGAAGGGUGGUGACGGUAGUGGUAGAAGAAGCACCGGCUAACUACGUG
rnacentral:rRNA from 1 species